rnacentral:rRNA from 1 species
UACGUAGGGGGCAAGCGUUGUCCGGAAUCAUUGGGCGUAAAGAGCGUGUAGGCGGUCCGUUAAGUCGGCUGUGAAAGUCCAAGGCUCAACCUUGGGAUGCCGGUCGAUACUGCCGGACUAGAGUUCGGAAGAGGCGAGUGGAAUUCCUGGUGUAGCGGUGAAAUGCGCAGAUAUCAGGAGGAACACCGGUGGCGAAGGCGGGUCUCUGGGCCGAAACUGACGCUGAGGAGCGAAAGCGUGGGGAGCAAACAGG